UGCGUUCAACGCCGCAUGGAAAACACCUGCAAACAAGAGACUUGUUUGUUGCCCACUCAAAUGACCUAAACGGUUUCUCGGUUAAAUGGUUGCGCUUAAAAUAUUACGUGAAACAUUUAUGAUACAACAUGACAAGGACACAAAGUUGAACUCAAUGUAACAAGCCAACUAACAAAGUGCCUAAGAAAGGUGAAUAGCCAGAACAUACUGCGCGCUCUUGAAUGUCUGGUACUUGUGUUUGCGUCAGACUACACAACAAAUCCAAGGUGGAUGCAACAGUAGAAAUUAGAUAACCAGCAGACUUUCCUGGCGCGGCGCGACGCAUGAGUCCAGCAGACCCAUAGGCAUGAUGAAUCAUCUCUCUGAUCUAUAACCUCUUGACUCCUGCAGUCUGGAUCAUGGCAGAAAAUUAAGCCAAGAAACAGCAGAGGUGAAGAGUUUUACUGCGGUAACUGCCACUGGCUGACAGCGAGGACUAAGACAGUCUGAUCAAACUCAGACUCGGAGAUAUUCCAGAGAGAGGGAGCGCACGGAGGGACUCUUUGAUAUCAGAGCUGGAUAUAUCUCUCUCAAGGAUAAUCACAUUGAUUAACUGCCUGGCUGAUGGGUAAAGAGUGGAGUGGAUCUGUGUCGAUGGAGAGAGAGAAAGCGAGAGGAUUGGCUUUAUUGAUUCAUCAGCGGUCACAUUUAGCAGUUCAGUAACCUGUUAAUUCACACCGUCUGCAACCAUCCUAGAGAACUAAUUAUCACCAUGUGUGUGUGCUUUC